AGGAAUGUAUAGCGAAAGCUAGUUGCAUUUAACUUAGCGAAAGCUAAGUUGAUGCAGGAUUGACUAUGUCAAAUAAAGUUCUAGGUGGGUUAUGAUGAUGACAUUUCCUAUCUAUGUGUCUUGACCAAAUUACGUGCCAGCAGUCGCGGUAACACGUAAAAGACUAGUGUUAUUCAUCUUUAAUAGGUUUAAAGGGUACCUAGACGGUAAAUCAAGUCCAAGAAGGGUACUAAUUUUACUAGAGUUUAAUAUGAGGGGGCACUAAAGUACUGAUAAGUGUAGAGAUGAAAUUCUGUGAUACAAUAUACGGCACUGGUAAAGGCGAAAGCAUCUCAUUAUGUAAUAACUGACGUUGAGGGACGAAGGCUAGGUGUAGCAAAAAGGAUUAGAUACCCAAGUAGUCUUAGCAGAAAAUUAUGAAUGUCAUAGGAUGGAAAGUUGGAUGGACAAACAACAAAUUUUUUUUUCUAUAAAUGAAAGUGUAAGCAUUCCACCUCGAGAGUAAUUUGGCAACAUUGGAACUGAAAUCAUUAGACCGUUUCUGAAACAAGUAGUGAAGUAUGUUGUUUAAUUUGAUGGUCCGCAAAAAACCUUACCACAAUUUGAAUAGAAAAAUUUUUUUCAUACAAGCGCUGCACGGUUGUCUUCAGUUAAUGUCGUGAGAUCUUGGUUAGUUCCAUUAAAUUAACGUAAACCCUUACUCUAUUUUUAUAUAGAGUAGUUCACCG
rnacentral:rRNA from 1 species